rnacentral:rRNA from 1 species
UACGGAGGGAGCUAGCGUUAUUCGGAAUUACUGGGCGUAAAGCGCACGUAGGCGGCUUUGUAAGUUAGAGGUGAAAGCCUGGAGCUCAACUCCAGAAUUGCCUUUAAGACUGCAUCGCUUGAAUCCAGGAGAGGUGAGUGGAAUUCCGAGUGUAGAGGUGAAAUUCGUAGAUAUUCGGAAGAACACCAGUGGCGAAGGCGGCAUCCUGGCCCUGUCCUGACGCUCAGGGGCGAAAGCGUGGGGAGCAAACCGG